rnacentral:snoRNA from 1 species
GUUUUUCAAGUUAAGUUCACUAUGUUCCUUCCCUCAUGUGGGCCUGGUGAGUAAUGGCUGCAAACAAAUCUCUGGGAGUAGUGUAUGUAGCCUAAGCUUGCAUGGGUUUCCAUGAGGAACUGCGGAGACAGUU